CAGACAUGAAGAUCUAUGUAUUAGUGAACACAUUUUUAGAUCUAUACACUCCCAAGCAGUAUCUGCAACCCAACACUGCAACGCUGUGCUAGUGCCUGAGAACCAGAAAGUGAAACUAAACAUGGUUUAGCUCAACUUGGAGAAUGAAAGAAAUACAAAAAAGAAACAAAACAGCUGAAUAAUGAUAAAUUGGACUUUUUCAAAGCAGUUAUUGGUUCACUUGUAGGCCUGAUCCUCCACUUGCAGGACCAGUAGUUUGGCCACUCAAAGCCAGCUGAAGGACUGGGGCCUUCACAAGCUUCAGUGUUAUUAAGAAGACUACAGACUUAGAUCCGUAUAAUAACUACAUCGCUCAGGGAUGAGAGAAAUCCACAUCCCUGAGUGAUGUAGUUAUAUCGACUUAACCCCCCAUGUAGACAGGGCUAUAUCAGCAGAAGAGCUACUGACUCUCAGGGAGGUGGAUCAACUUCACUGAAAGGAGAGUUCUCUCCCAUCGACUUAGGCCUGCUCUAUACUACAGAGUUAAUUACGUCAAUCUAACUCUAAGCGUCUACACUAAACGGUAGCUCCUAUUGAUGUAACUCGCCCACUACACCGACCUAAUAACUCUACCUCCACGAGAGGCAUAGCGCUUAAGUCGAUUUAGUUAGGUCGACGCAGUGUCAGUGCAGACACUGUGUUCCUUACAUUGACUGUUACUGCCUUUCAGAAAUCGUCUCACAAUGCUCCAUGUGCAAUGGACAUGCAAAAGUGAUUUAAUUACUGCGAUGGCUGUAUGUCAACAUAACUUAGGUUGACUUAAUUUUGUAGUGUAGACUUGCCCUUAGAACAUCUUUAUUAAAGCAAUACAAUGGUGCAGCUGCACCAAUGCAGCAUUUCAAGUGUAGGCUUGCCCUACAUCCCAAACUUAAUACCAAGAUAGUUGGCUGCGCACCACAAUCAUAUAAGUAGCAAGAGACAAUUUGACCUGCUCCUAUUUCUUUUAGAGUGCACCACCUGGAAACAAUAAUGGGGCAGCCAGCACUGUGCGCAACAUUCCAAGAUGCCAAACAUUGACAAGUUCGAUACAAGUGCCCCUCAAAAAAUGCGAGAUUGCAUCUCUCUUUAGCCUGAAAGAUCCCACAGCAGCGCUUCUCUUUAUCUUGUCCCUCCUGUGUCCAUCCUAUAGGUGAGCCCUAUCUGGACUCCUUGCUGUUUCUGGAUACCCCAUAAAGCCACACAAAAAACAUCUUUUCCCCUCUCCAACCCUCAGGAUGACCAACUGUGGCUUCUCCAUUUGGGUUUGGAUUUUGGGAAUCCAAGCAUUCACAACCUCCAGGCUUAAUUACUGUAAUUCUCUCUACCUAGGUAUGAAACAGCUGAUUUUACAACAGUUCCUGGUGACUCAGGACAUAGAAACCCAUCUGUUCAGCAAAGCAGGCCUCUGACAGCACAUCACCCACAGUGCUCUACUCUUCACUAGCUCAUGGAAUUCCAGGUCAAAUUCAACAUUUCAGCCUUCACCUUGGGAGCAAGACGACAACCUUCAUGUGAUGUUCCUGACCAAAAAAGAACAGUUGGGCCAGCCCUCCAAAUAUACGAACUUACUGUAGAAAGGAUGUCCAUGAAAAAAGUGGUUUACCGCUCGAGGACCCUCAAAGACCAUCACAUUGACAUCAUGGCCCUCCAAGAAACACGCGUAAAAGACAACGACAAAGCUGCCAGACAUAAAAUCUCAUAGAAUGGGGGGCUGCUCCACCGUCUGUUUGACAUUAGCAGAGACAUCCUCCCAGUGAAGCAGGCAGGAUUUCACUGGAGGAGGAACUGCUGUGACCAAGUAGCUUAACUCACCGGCUACACUGAGGCAGGAUUCCAACAGAAGUUGAAGACAGGAAUCGUCCUUGUUGAUGUAUCCUCGGCAUAUGACACCGGAUGGAGACAAGGCCUCCUCUUCAAGGUCUCCAGUGUCAUUCACUGUCAGCAAAUGAUCCGCCUCUUGGCAGUGAUGACCGGGGACAGCUGGUUUAAGAUACACCUUAAUGGCCAGAUCAGUAGACCAAAGACUCUUCACUCGGGCAUCCCUCAGGGCUCUGUCCUGACCCUGAUACUUUUUAAUCUAUACACCAUGGAUAUACCAGCAACGGAGUUGAGGAAAUUCAUCUAUGCAGAUGACAUUGUCCUAGCUGUUCAGCAUACAAGCCUCCAUACUAUCAGCUGCACCCUAACCCGAGAUCUUAGCACAAUGGCUGAUUAUUUCCAAUGCUGGAAACUUAGGCCUAACCCAAAAAAAAAAAAAAAAAAAAAAACCACCAUGGUGACCACUUUCUGUCUGAACAAUAAAAUGGCUAAUACCAAACUCGUGGUGCAGUUCUGCAGUGAGAGCGUCAGCCAUGAGGCUAACUCAAAGUAUCUCAGCGUUACACAGGACCGGAGUUUAACCUUUCUACAACAUCUCGAGAACACCCGCUAUAAGGCCAGGUCCCAUGCAGCACUUAGGAAAUUGGCCAGAACAUCAUCAGGCUCCAGUCCAUGGACCUUACAACCUCAACAACUGCUUUGGUACAUUCUGCAGCUGAAUACUGUGCACCAGUGUGUUCUCACAGCAGUCACACUAAACGCCUUGACACUCAACUCAAUAACGCUAUGCGCAUAGAGUCAAUUUGAGCGUUCCUGACACUGGUCGACUGGCUCCCGGUCCUACUGCACAUCCAGCCUCCAUAAAUUAGAAGAGCUGCCCAGACAUCUCACUUUCUCAACUACGUCAAUGCAAACACAAAGACCCCGCUGCACGAUGACCUGCAGAACCCACCAAAGACAAAAUUAAAAUCCUGCAACCCUCUAUGGGUCCGCAUCAAGACUCUUACAUUUAACUUUGAUGCUGAGGCUAAAUGGAGAACCACAGGGAGUGUUUCGACUGCUCAAAACAAACAGCUUGUUGUUGACCCUGUCAAGGAACCACCGGGUUUUGAUUUAUGUCAGAAAGACUGGUGCAGAUUGAAUUACAUCAGGACAUCUCCUGGGAGAUGUGGACAAACCCUCUUUAAAUGGAAAAUGAGGCAAACACCUGUAGGAGACUGUUGUCACCAGGCACAAAUGAUGGAGCACAUCAUUUCUGAGUGUUCCCUUUGUUCUUUCACCAGGGGCCUGAAGGACAUUCACCAGCUCACUGCUGCAGCAAGGUCCCUACUAUCAAAUCUAGAUAUAAAUUUGUAAUUGUGGUUACCUCCCCAAGCCAUAUGAAAGAAGAAGUCUUCACCUUCAGAGUCCUCCAUGGGCUUGGCACAAGUUACCCAGGGGACCAUCACAACCCGCAUGGUCGUGACCUCCCGUGAGAGCCAGGUUCCUGCGGUAUUAUGGGACUGUCAACCUCAAGAACAAUGCUUGUGCACGCAGGAGACCAAACUUUCUUGGCUACUGCCCAUAACUUACUCCUGGAAGAGGUCAGGAUACACAAACGUCAGCGUAUUCAGAGCAAAAUGCAAAACUGUGACCCAGCCCUUCUGCCAUAGCCACCCUGGCCCUCUCACAAGAAGCGAGUCACUGCUGACUGAAGGAAAGAGAACACUAUCUGAAGUGCAUGUACAAACAUAUACAUAAGUGAUGUAUCUAAUACCCUAGAUCGAGGCAGACAGAACAGUAGCACAGCAUGUGUGAAGGUAUACGGCAGGUAUGCUCUAACGUACCAACAGGAAGUUAAUAAUGGACAACAGCAGAUGCAGUGGUGGACUAGCAUUUUCUGUAAUCUUAGUGUCAUGAUUCAGCAUUGCUUACUGAGGUCAAUAACAGAAGAGAAUUAAUACCAAGUUUGUGUAGGACUGCGCAGGAUCCCAAGUGUGUGAUGAAAGACAGUUUAGAGAUAAAUUCACCACUCCUUGGGAAAACAACAUUAAUCUCUUAAGCACCAAACAAAAGAAUCAGAGUCACCUCUGCAGACAGAACUCAAGACAGGUCUGACACCAAUAAAUAUGUAUGAUUUGUUAGGUACAGUCAGAAGACGUCAGGAGGCAUGGAUCAGCGUUCACGUUGCACUGCCUGUCAAUACCCAGCCCAAUCUGGAAAGCUAAUAAUCCAACCAGCAGACCAAAUUCGGUGAUGAAUCCUGGUCACAUGCCACCUGAGGCACGCUGGGUAUACACUAAGAAGCAGCAGCACAAGUCAAUGCUCUACAUGCCCAUCAAGGGAGGUAAUUUACUCUUCCAUACAGACACUAUUGCUAAGGCUAAGAUUUUCUCAUGGAUAUAUUUAGUAAAAGUCAGGGACAAGUCACAGGUAAUAAACAAAAAUUCAUGGAAGCCCGUACCUGUCCCUGACUUUUACUAAAAAGAUCCCUGACAAAAUGGGAAGGGAGGAGUGUCCAACACCCACAACAGCUGGGGCUCCAGGGUCCCCCCCCCUCCACUGCACAGCAGCUGGGAGCUCCGGGGGACCCCUACCCCACACAGCAGCUGGCAGCUCCAGGGCCCCCUGCUGCCUGGGUGCUGCCCUGCGGCUGACACGGAAAAUGUCACAGAGGUCUCUGGAAGUGACAGAUUCCGUGACAUAAUUGUAUCCUUAACUAUUGCUACUAGACAUAGUUUUCUAAAGUUACUUGUUGUAGAGAAGCGUGAAGAGUGAUUGUUUUCCCCCUUUGAAAAGUUGCAUGUGGACAAUAGAGGUCAAAUUUGACCACUUCCUUACAUCCCAUUUUCACCAUUUCCCUGUGAAUUAUACUGUAUAAGUGGACGCACUUAAGUACAACCCUCCACAGCAGAUAAAACCAGCACCAAAGACAAGAUGUACUGGUACGUUACCCACCGUUACCCAGUACUUAAAAGUACAGCUGGAAAGUAGUCCAGCUUUUGCAGAACCACUUUUCACUCUGUGUGCCCAACUGCCUACUCACAAAAUGGCAGAGGAGUUUUAGGAAAAACUGAGGUUUGCCCAGGGAGACUCUAAUCAUAUUUAACAUCACACUUAUUUGGAAUGCUAAACCCCAUCCCCUUGAUUAUUAUACUGUGUGGUCCACUACACUGACAUAACACCACUGAGAUCACCUAUUUUGGUUGCACCAUAGAGAAAGCCACCUCCUGCACUAAUAGAAAAUUAAAUCCUAGUGCUAACCCCUAUUUCCCAUAUGCCCUCUUCUCCCACUUACUUAUUCUGAUGUGGCAACACACCUACCUACAUACAUUCUCUGCCCUGCCUCCCCCUAUCCCCCUGGAUGUGCAGAAUCAGUAAAAAGGCAGUGAAUCUAGUGAGAAUGGAAGUCAAAGAUCUUGAAUUCUUAUCCCAGCUUUGCCACUGACUUGCUGCAUGGUCAUCAGACAAGAGAGCCUCUCUGUGCUUGUUUCCUUAUCUGUACUACUCUUCUACCUAUUUCACAGGAAUUCUGUGACGCUAUAGAUAAGCAGAGUGUUAUUAAUCUGCACAGGUCCCAUGAUGAGGAAGGGAAAGCAACACCAAGAUCUCAAAGUUGCAUGAACGGAAGUAAAUCGCACUUUGUUGCACUAGACUCGGCAAAUAUAAUGCAAGCCACAGGAAAACAACAUGCAUGCUGGGGAAGUGGUCAGAUACUGUAGUGAUGGUGGCUAUGUUCAUCACCAUCUAACACUGUAUGUGUAGCAAGUGACUGUUUGUAGCCAAUGUUUGGUGGGUGAGGCUUCCAUGGCUUGCCUCAACUCACUACCAAUAAACAGCUAUGGGGAAAACA